UCAUUUGAAUCCGUUUCUUCGUCGACAAUAUUUAAAUCUUUUAUGAAAACACACCAGUUUAUACCAGCUCCACAGUCCGGUUCUUUUUCUGAUGCCCACCAAAGUGCAGUCUGAAACAUUCGUGAAUAAUAGCUUAGGUCAUAGAUAGAGCAACUCGUGAAAGUUGUGCAUACUUCCUGCAGAAAAUUUGUAUGGGUAUAUUGGCUGCAGUGCUGGAUAUAUUUCAAGCAAAACAUAUUGAAAAUAAUUAUCGAAAUAUGUUUGUUUAAAUGAAAUAAUAUUUACUUCAUCUAUAUAUAUGAAAAAUGUUUAUAUAAAAUAUGGUAAUAUUGUUCGUCAAAUUUGCAGUAGAAAAUGUGCAUGAAACAUAACGAUAAAAAAAUACCUUGACGUUUAUCGGCGGCGCAGGUGGAGGAGGAUCCACUUUAACAUUGAUAAAUUUUAGAACGUCAUUAUAGUCCAGUUGUUCCUUUUCGUUCUUGUGAAUGCUAUAUUAUUAUUGCAAGAUCUCCACUUAUAUACGUACUGAUCAAGCAUGGAAUUUAAAAGUUCCACGUCGACUGGAAUUCUGGCAGCACGGAGAGUAGUAUACAACGUAUCGCGUGGUAAGAAUCCUGUUCUUCCUCUGUCCCAAUGAUGUAGAUCCUCCUCCAAACGAUCGAGAUCGUUCCACAAAGUUCGCAAAAGUUCCGUAUGCAUUAACUGUCUGUUAAACGUCUAAUUGUUAUUCUUACUAUGUUGAAUCGAUCUUACGUCGGUGUUUCUACCAACGACGAUCGCUUACCUUAUGUAUUCCCUAGUGCGAAACUCUUUUUUCUCAUGAGACGAAUAGUGUCGAGCGAUCGUGAUUAUUUCGUGCUCUGUUAUUUUUCCUUCCAUAUACUUGCCCAAGAUCUCCCUGAUUUUUCAUGCAAUUAUUGUAAUAGUACAGUAUAAAUAGUAUAGUAUUUGAUGGUGUAACAAAACUGCUAUAUAGUACAAAUAAAAAGAUUAGUAGCACGUUAGGUCGUGGCUUAUAAAAUAUUUAUUUGAGGGCUUGCAAGGACUCUAAAAGACAGCUUUCGAAUAUCUUUGUUAUUUGUACUUGGUUGCUUAGUUUAAAUGUUGUGUAAUUUGUUUAAUCUUAUGUAUGUAGAUUUGGUGGAUCAGAGCAUGAGAGGAGUACAGCAGGAGCUGAUUCAGCGCGCCAAAAUAAGAAGAAGAAUUCCUACAAACUGCCCGUAUGACCUUACUGUCGAGUAACAGCUUGUUUCGUGUCGUAAUAGUCGCUUAGCUACCACCCAGAAAAUCGGUAGCUCCGGUAGCAGCGUGAAUGCAUCGCAUCGUAGAUCGUGGAACCUGUUCCAACAGCUUAUACGGAUUCGUCGGCGACUUUGACGAAGAGUUUCGAUACUGUCAACCGACGUUGUAUAAACAGGACACUUUAAACGCUCCCGUGACUAACAAUCCAAUGGGGCCAAGUGCGAAGAGCGAGCUGAUGAGGAAAUAAGACCAGCACGACAUAUCCAUCUUCCAGGGAGUCGUUGAUCUAAGUAACAUUUAGCAUCGCAAAAUAAGCUGUAACUCGAAAACGUGGUCGUAUCGGGCGUAUGUUUAUACGAAGUUUUCUUCUUAUUUCAGUCUGCCGAAUCAACACCUGCUGUACUUACCCGCAUGCUCUGAUUCACAUAAAUUCGUAAUCCGCGGUAGCGUGCGUUUCAACAAAUUGCAAUUGGAUUUUUCGAUUUUUACGUGACGAAUCAUUUCCUGUCACGCCGUUCGAAUACUUUGGUCAUUCGCCUCAUAGGUAAUCGAAUGAAACAAAACGUAUACCUGAGUUUCUCGUACGGCAGGACUCGAACAUCCCCGUCGAUUGAUUGGGCUGGCUCGCAAAGCUGUAAGAAUUCUUUGUAAACCGGUUUCAAUGUCUGUCGUAGUUUUUCCACGAUUAACUUGACGUUAGCUUUGGCGAACUGAAAAAUCGGAAUACAAACGAAACGUUCAUAUUUCAAUAGCUUGCCCGGCCGAGUUCGUCAGGGGAACGCUAAUCCGAUGUUCUAAAGUUCGGGACAGCGUGGAACAGUAAAAACAGCGAGACGCGUAUAAAUUAUUGCACCUUAUCGCAAUGUAACUCCAUGUAACGAAGAGCAUAAACGUCGGCCGAAGUAAUUUCGAAGAUAAAACCGUUCAAGUUAGGACGUGCUCCAAUAUAAAAAUCCUCCGGCUUGUAAUAAUCCGGUUUCUUGCUUACAAAUACCUCUUGAUUAGGUAACAUCACCGGCAUUCUCUUCUGGAACAGGCAUCGUCUAAAGCCUGCAAAUAACGUGAAAAACUCAUGCAAUCAAUAAGGAAACGAUGUUGAGGCGCUAAACCGAAACGAAUGUUAAUAAUCAGGCUACGGUCGUUUCUAUGUAUAAUGGUAUUUGGUUUGUGGACAUUCGAUGACUUCUUCAAGACAACCCCGUAGGUGUCGAACAUCAAACUAUUUUAGGAGAAAGGAGAAUCCUUUCCGACUUGCUAUCAUCUUCGUAAUCUGAUUUUGAUAAUUUCGAUAAUAGUAUUUUCUUAAAGAACUGUUCACCUGAAUUUCUUCUCGCCAAUUCGAAAAUAGAAACCGUAUCGUCCAUGAGGAAAACUCUUAUAAUGAACUGCCUGUCUUGAUUAGCCGGUACGUUCGAUAUCAUUUGCGCUCUGAAUCUCAAAACGUAGCUGUCCAAGCCCUGUCUAAGAAAGAGGAAAAGAGGAAGAAAAGGUGGCUGCGGUAUCACCCUGAAACAGUUGCCGAGGGAAUCUUCGUAGGACCCAAAACCAUUGUAGGGUGGAAUGUAUCUUUCCACUUUCACGCAAAUCUCGCCAACAUUUCGAGGUCUUUCCAUGGGCGUGAAGUCAUCCAGACCGUAUUUCUUCCUUUGAUGCGAUACAAGAAACAUCUUUUUACGUGACACAUUCUUUUCUACGCCUUUUACUGUUCAAUGGAUCUAUCGUGUAAUAACCAUGGGAUGUAUCGUCUCCCAUCACGUUCAAAACGGUAAAAGCGUCUCCUGUUCCGAUCGAGCCCAUUUCCGAGAAGAUCUAUAUUCGAAUGUCCGUCCAUUAAUCCCUCGAGUUACAAGUCUUGCGAAACUAAAUUCCAUUAUAAACAGAGUAUAAAUGCAGCGAGUCACUGCCUGCAAUCUUUGGGUACGUAAAUAAUCUUUUCGUAGUUUUGCAAAAUCAUAUUCCAAAAUCAACUUGGUUUUUGCAUCUUCGGUCCAGUCUACCCUGUUCUAUUUAUGCCAACCUGUGUAAACUCGCGAACUCAAUUAUCUCGUACAAUGAGAGUACAUCGACUGUAAAUUCUGUCAUGACACAAACAAAAAUGCGUAUUACACUCAUAAUGAAAAUUUUACCUUAUAAGUAUAAUCGUUUUUUAAUUGUUACAUGAAUCAUUCUGUGAAAAUUUCUUAUAAUGGAACAGUCGAAGAGUAAAAAAAUUGCUACAAUUUUCGCUAUCCUAUCCUCAAAGUACCGUGUUAGGCAAGAAUUCCGAGUUUGCACAUAUACCAGUACAACGAAUUCUUACUUUAGGAACUUGCAUACGUCGCAAAAACGUGGAACCAGAAUCUCGUCCGGAAUUCGACGGCAGAUUCUCUUUGAUCUCUAUCGUGUUGUCAGCUAGGUAAUAGUAAAUUUCCAGAUCAUGUACGACGCCGUAAAGGUUAUCCGUGUCAUCCCAAUAGCCGUAAAAUCGAAGCACUUGUUUGUCGUAUUUCAAGAAGUCGCCGCGAGUAUCCACCUUCUGUUUUGGUUUCUUCGGAAAUGUUUCCUGUUUCGAUCAGUUAAAGCGUAGAGUAAGCAGACAAUUGCUGAUGUAAACAAACAGAUGUAAAGAUGUGAAUCCCAUUUCGUGAUAAUAUAGAUCACAUUAAAGAAAUGUUGGUUCCUAAAGUAUAAAAAUAAAAUUAAAGACUUCCAUGCACGUUAUGUGUUUUUCAAACUCCACGUUUUACGGUAAAAUCUCUUUUUAAGUAAACACAUACAUUACGAUAAAAAAUAAUAUUCGUGUAUGUAUUAAGUUGUGCGCAAAAGUAAAGAUAUAUGCAAACGAAGGUAAAGAAUAUAGUUUUCAAUGUUUCAUUGUAAGUAAAAUAUUAGUUAAAUAAUUAUAAUUAUGUCGAACACUUUUUUUAUUGUACUUACUCGCUUAUGAAGUUCCAAAUAAGGAUCCUUUGGUAUUUCUAUCGGAUCUGGCACGGCGAUUCCCAUACGAUUUAAAAAUUGUCUCGUAAAUUUAUCACAGUCUACAAUCUUAUAUACUCUCCCAAAUAAUUCCGGCUCUUUACCGAUAUUUAGAUCUAUUAUAUCGUAGUAUCUGUAUCUCACUGGAUUAGGCAUUGGAAUUCUCUGUCGCCUUAACAAAACUCCUAAGUACACGCGUUUCAUCUUUCAGUAAUAAAACUUUGACAGAUUAAAUAUAUAUUAAAUAAUUAAAAGUAUCGAAGAGGAUGCACCGUUGAACCUUGCUCAAGACCACUAUUGUCCACGGAAGGCUCAGAAAUUUUCAUCGUUCCAUCCUCCAAAAAGAAGCUGAUAUUUACCACGCGUAUUUGUUUUCUAGAUAAAUGAUCAUACUUGGCCAUCAUAAGCAAUCCAAGGAGGCAGUUCUUGAACUUCCCCGCGAGCAUAAAUUGACGGAUAACGAAUUGGAUCGCUUUUAUCAAACUUUUCCGAUAAAUAAUAAACUCCAUCGUGAAUUUUAGUAAAGUAUUGAUUCCUGGCAAAGUUUGUUCGAUCAAGCUAAACAAGAAGAUACAUCAAGCGCUUUUUGUAUUAUAUUAUAAUGUAUUACGUGCGUAUGUUCUAUGCUCAUCAAUAAUAUAAAUAUUAUUUCAUGAAAUUCUAUGUCGUAGCCAAUGCAUAUAUUGGUUAAUUAAACACAAAGUGUCAUGAGACCGUAAAAGAAAAAUGACUUACGUUUUUAUCGAAGCUAAAUCCUGGUAGACAUGGAAGUAUAAGAUCACGCUGCAUUUUACCGCCGAUGGAAAUUGGAUUAAUAAAUAUGAUACAUUUGAAGAGUUAGUAGCCGAUUUACGAGGAAACACUUUACGUAUCUGAUAUCGACGUAAGAAUAUGCGUUACUGCUAUUUGCUAUUGUUGUGUUUCCUUGGAGAUACUUCAGUUGAUUUCAUCAGGAGAAAAGAAGAACUUCGAGGUACUUGCAGCUUUAAUAUAUAUAUAUAUAUAUAUUUAUAUUUUAUUAUCAUCAACAAUUCGCAAUAUUACACUGGUAACAUUUUAUACCAGUAUAUGCAGAAACAUAAAUUUAUAUAAUAUAUAGCAAUAUACAAUAUAGCAAAAAUUCUGGUAUAAAUAUAAUAACACGUAUAUAUUAUAUAUUAGUUUGAUUCGUAACAAUCUAUGUUAAGUUUUGAACUAUACUGCUGACUAUAAUUUGUUAUUAAUUUUAUUACUUAAGAGCAUGAUGUACAGAUCAUGAUACUAUUUAAUUGGUAACUCGUUAUUCAAAUGAUAUAAAUGCAUCAAUGGUAAAUAAAUUACAAAUAUAUAGUAAAUGGGGUAAUAGAUUCAAUAAGAAGUUAAGCGUAAUAGAAGCAAGAUCAAACAUCCAUUGAUCAAACAUAAUUUAAAACACUCUAUUAAUAAACCUCUGUGCAAAAAGAUUAAGUCAUGUUUAAUGAAUAAUAGAUGUUAUAUUAUGCGUAUAGU